rnacentral:rRNA from 1 species
GAUGAACGCUGGCGGCGUGCCUAAUACAUGCAAGUCGAGCGAACGGACGAGAAGCUUGCUUCUCUGAUGUUAGCGGCGGACGGGUGAGUAACACGUGGAUAACCUACCUAUAAGACUGGGAUAACUUCGGGAAACCGGAGCUAAUACCGGAUAAUAUUUUGAACCGCAUGGUUCAAAAGUGAAAGACGGUCUUGCUGUCACUUAUAGAUGGAUCCGCGCUGCAUUAGCUAGUUGGUAAGGUAACGGCUUACCAAGGCAACGAUGCAUAGCCGACCUGAGAGGGUGAUCGGCCACACUGGAACUGAGACACGGUCCAGACUCCUACGGGAGGCAGCAGUAGGGAAUCUUCCGCAAUGGGCGAAAGCCUGACGGAGCAACGCCGCGUGAGUGAUGAAGGUCUUCGGAUCGUAAAACUCUGUUAUUAGGGAGGAACAAAUGUGUAAGUAACUAUGCACGUCUUGACGGUACCUAAUCAGAAAGCCACGGCUAACUACGUG